UGAAUGUUGUAGAAAUACGAAUGCUGUUGAAGUGAAUAGACGCGCCGCCCCCUUUGCUCAGCACUAUCACUACUGAGGGAGUAAUCUCCGGAGAGCCAUGUUUCUAAUAUUGCGUCUGAUCAUCUCCUUCCACUAUGCAACGUCAGUGAUUGUCCAUCAGAGUCCGGGCGCUCUGUCCGAUUCUCCGGGCCAGAAGGUGGAGGUGAAAUGUACCAUCGAGGGCAGUAGCAAUACUGCAGAUAGGUUGUUCUGGUAUAGGCAAUACCGGGGAGAGGAGCCACAGAACAUGUUCUACUCUUUCGGAGAAAAUAGCGUGCAGUCAUCGAAAUCGGCGGAUGGUUUCACGGCAGAGAGACCGGGCAGCCACGAGUUCUACUUAAGGUCCUCUGACCUCAAGGCGACUGCAACGGCCGAGUAUUUCUGCGCCUGGAGUCUACACAGAGACUCUGAGAGACGGGGGAGGCACACAUAAACCUCCCACCCUCUCGCGCUGACAGUGAGCGCCCCCCUCCGGCCGUGGGAUUUUUGUGCGGCUCAUUGAUGCUCUCCGAGUAACUCUCUCGCAUAGAAACAAAGACAGAUAGAAAUUAGGUACAGGAGUAGGCCAUUCAGCCCUUCGAGCCAGCACCGCCAUUCAAUAUGAUCAUGGUUGAUGAUCCAACUCAGUAUCCCGUACCUGCCUUCUCUCCAUAUCCCCUGAUCCCAUUAGCCACAAGGGCCACAUCUAACUCCCUCUUAAAUAUAGCUAAUGAACUGGCCUCAACUAACUUCUGUGGCAGAGUUCCAGAGAUUCACCACUCUCUGUAUGAAAAUAUUUUUCUCAUCUCUCUCUC